rnacentral:pre_miRNA from 1 species
AGUGGGAUAACUGGGUUAAAUGUUGGUUCCAAUCCAAGUUUUCUGAGGAAUAUCCACGGUGCUUUCCAGAGUGGUUGCACCAAUAUGCAGUCCUACCAGCAAU